CGAACGCUGGCGGCGUGCCUCAUACAUGCACGUAGAACGCUGAAGGAGGAGCUUGCUUCUCUGGAUGAGUUGCGAACGGGUGAGUAACGCGUAGGUAACCUGCCUGGUAGCGGGGGAUAACUAUUGGAAACGAUAGCUAAUACCGCAUAAGAGUAGAUGUUGCAUGACAUUUGCUUAAAAGGUGCAAUUGCAUCACUACCAGAUGGACCUGCGUUGUAUUAGCUAGUUGGUGGGGUAAUGGCUCACCAAGGCGACGAUACAUAGCCGACCUGAGAGGGUGAUCGGCCACACUGGGACUGAGACACGGCCCAGACUCCUACGGGAGGCAGCAGUAGGGAAUCUUCGGCAAUGGACGGAAGUCUGACCGAGCAACGCCGCGUGAGUGAAGAAGGUUUUCGGAUCGUAAAGCUCUGUUGUAAGAGAAGAACGAGUGUGAGAGUGGAAAGUUCACACUGUGACGGUAUCUUACCAGAAAGGGACGGCUAACUACGUG
rnacentral:rRNA from 1 species